UAUAUUCGUUAGAGAUAGUAAUACUAGUGCCAGAAGUAGUAGUAGUAGUAGCAGCAGUAGUAGUAAUAGUAGUAGUAGUAGUAGUUAGAUUAGGCAAAGUUUGAUUAUGCUUGCUUUGGUUUGUCGUAGUAGUAGUAGCAGAGAGAGAGAGAAAAAAAAAAUUAUUCUCGAUUAUGUAUAAUUAUUUAGAUAACAAAUUGUAAUUGUUCUUGUUUUUGUUGUUGUUAUGAGAUUAAAUGUAACGUAUUUAAUUAUUGUUAUUAUUUGUUAGUAGUAGUAGUAGUAGUAGUAGAGCCCUUUUGUAGCAUUUAAUAGCAUUAUUUGUUAGUAGUAGUAGUAGUAGUAGUAGAGCCCUUUUGUAGCAUUUAAUAGCAUUAUUUGUUAGUAGUAGUAGUAGUAGUAGUAGUAGAGCCCUUUUGUAGCAUUUAAUAGCAUUAUUUGUUAGUAGUAGUAGUAGUAGUAGUAGUAGUAGUAGUAGAGCCCUUUUGUAGCAUUUAAUAGCAAAGAAACAUAGUAAAUAAAUAAAAAGAGGUAAAAAUAGUAACAAUAACUAAUUUUGUCCCUCCAGGCUUGUUUGGCGGUGGCAGAGAAAGACCCCUCCUCUCCCUCCUCCUCCCCCCCAUCCUCUCCCACCAAGAAGACCCAAUAGUAGAAAUACAUACAAACAACAACAACAACAACAACAGCAACAACACACACACACACACACACACAAACACCUCCAGGGCUUUCUAUUGAAAGUAAAAAAAUAAGUAUUAAAUAAAACAUAUCUUUCAUUCAUAUUACUGUGUUUACUUGGCUCUUCUUAACCUAACCUUACCUACCCUACCCAUCACACACACAUACACACACACCCUCCACUCACCAAUCCACCUAUUCACACACCAAAUCGCCCACAGAUUCACGCACCAAUUCACCCACACACCCAUUCAACUACAUACUUAACUGUGUGUGUGUGUGUGUGUGUGUGUGUGUGUGGGCAGUACUAUCGAGGCACGUCACUGUUUUUUUGGGGGGGCGAGAGAGGCAGGAAACACAAGCUGGGGACUUCAGUUUGUUGGUGUGCGUCACGGUGACCGUCACGGUGUGACAAUACUGUUACUGGGAUUAUUUUACUUCAAUAUUACGUUUGUGAGACAAUACAGCGGUGCAGUUUGUGUUCAUACGGCUUAUUACUGCGUCUGCUCAGCGUGUGCAGUGUGGCAGUGUGGCCUUGUGAUCUUGGAACCUCAGGGAAAACAACAUGCAGCUAGUGAGUUAGAAUGGCUAGAACCAGAGGAUGGGGGUGUGCGUCCAGGGAGUUGAGGAGUGCCACUGCUUCAACUGAUGCUGUGGGGCCUUGAGGCAGAGGGUCCACCAGUUUCCUAGAUGGCCGCCGCCCAAGCCUUGGAAAUCAUGGGGUCGAAAGUCUUGUAAAUAUACAUGUUAAUAGCGACCAUUUUGUCCUUAUC